CCCUUAGAUGUUCUGGGCAGCACGCGCGCUACAAUGGUCUUCGCAAACGGAUGCAUUCUCGAAGGAGAAUGCCAAUCUUGGAAUCUAUGCCUUGGUCGGGACAGUUGCUUGCAAUUUUUCGACUCGAACCAGGAAUUCCUUGUAAUCGUGAUUCAUCACAUCACGAUGAAUACGUCCCUGCCCUUUGUACACACCGCCCGUCGCUACUACCGAUUGGAUGGUUUAGCGAGAACCUUGGACCGGAGCUCGGGUGGUCAGCAAUGGCCGCCCGAGACAUACUGGGAAAUCGCUCCAGCUUGAUCAUCUAGAGGAAGUAAAAGUCGUAACA
rnacentral:rRNA from 1 species